rnacentral:rRNA from 1 species
UCAGUCGACUCCUACGGGGAGGCAGCAGUGGGGGAAUAUUGCACAAUGGGCGCAAGCCUGAUGCAGCCAUGCCGCGUGUAUGAAGAAGGCCUUCGGGUUGUAAAGUACUUUCAGCAGUGAGGAAGGUAUCGUAGUUAAUAGCUGCGGUAUUUGACGUUAGCUGCAGAAGAAGCACCGGCUAACUCCGUGCCAGCAGCCGCGGUAAUACGGAGGGUGCGAGCGUUAAUCGGAAUUACUGGGCGUAAAGCGCAUGCAGGUGGUUUGUUAAGUCAGAUGUGAAAGCCCGGGGCGUCAACCUCGGAAUUGCAUUUGAAACUGGCAGACUAGAGUACUGUAGAGGGGGGUAGGAAUUUCAGGUGUAGCGGUGAAAUGCGUAGAGAUCUGAAGGAAUACCGGUGGCGAAGGCGGCCCCCUGGACAGAUACUGACACUCAGAUGCGAAAGCGUGGGGAGCAAACAGGAUUAGAUACCCUGGUAG